rnacentral:rRNA from 1 species
UACGUAGGGCGCAAGCGUUAUCCGGAAUUAUUGGGCGUAAAGAGCUCGUAGGCGGUUUGUCGCGUCUGCCGUGAAAGUCCGGGGCUCAACCCCGGAUCUGCGGUGGGUACGGGCAGACUAGAGUGAUGUAGGGGAGACUGGAAUUCCUGGUGUAGCGGUGAAAUGCGCAGAUAUCAGGAGGAACACCGAUGGCGAAGGCGGGUCUCUGGGCCGAUACUGACACUGAGGAGCGAAAGCGUGGGGAGCGAACAGG